rnacentral:tmRNA from 1 species
GGGGGCGUAAAGGUUUCGACGGGGGUUUAGAAACGGGGUAAGCGAGCAGAAGCGCAUAACUUCUAUAAAAUGUGCAAAUUAAAAUUAAACGCUAACAACAGUAAAGUAGCUCUCGCUGCCUAACUCGCAGUGAGCGUCGCCCCGGAGAGGACUGCGGCUCCGGACGCGGCGUGACUAAGCAGUGAACGUGUACGGAGUUAAGCUUUGCGCUCCGUCAUGAACUAAUGAAGCUACCGGCCGUAUAUGCCUGCCGAUCGGCGUAUGCGGCGGGGAAUCCCGAUGACCGGCUGCGCUCGGAGAAAACACCGCGGACAGGCUUUCGGACAGGGGUUCGAUUCCCCUCGCCUCCACCA